rnacentral:lncRNA from 1 species
AUGAUCGGUAUAAAUGUGUCUUUCAUUCAGGGAAAAUUUAACUAGAAAUAGAAAUGUGAUAAUGAGACAAACACUUAAGCAUCUCUGCAAAAGCUGUGGGAGUUGCGCUUUAGCAAUCUGACAAUCUGCGCUGUCUUUCCACGGAGUUUAAUGGUUUACACUGUUUGAUAUAUAUAUCUCUAUAUAUAAUAUUUUUGUCUCUGAGGAGGAGUGAUUUUCGCAGCAAUGAACGCUACUUAAGGUUACUUCCCACCUUCGCGGUUGUUCUUCGGGAAAAAAUUCGUGUGUGUGCCAGUUUCACUAAAAUCCUAGCAAACUAUAUAUCAGAAGAAAGCUUAAUAAGAAGAAAGGAGUUUUAUAAGUCAAACUUUUUGAAGCAAUUAGAUCCAUGGCUCGAAGGAGAAAAAUCGUGAUAGGUAAGUUACAUUAACUGACUAGGUUCAUGGAAUACAUACAUCCUAUAUGUUGCCAGGGUAUAGCACCCAAUUUUGUACUGCGCCGACAGGUUGUGAACAGAGAAGAUUGAAUUUAGUAGUUAUUAACUCAGCCAUACUUAUAAAAGACACAUCCUAUUUUUCCCAACCGGAGCCAUUAAUAUUGCCCCCUGUAAUUCCACUACUUUUUUUCUAAAGAAAGAAAGUUGUACUUUGAAAGUUGUACUUUGUCUAUUUUGAAUUCUUUAUAUGAAGGAACCCUGAUCAUCAACGUCUGAGAUUACCCUCGCUGCUCUUUCCUGUAGCUUAAGAAAACGGCCUAGAUUCUUCGUAUGACAGCUAGUCCAGAUUGUGCUAAUAUAAUACAAAACAGAUCUUAUCUUGGUGCUAUAAAACAAUAUCCUUUGUUUCAUGGGAAGGUAAAAUCGUACCUUUUCAACAUCUCAAUUUGCUGAAGAGCUUUUUAGAAAUGAUCUGUUACAAAGUAAAUUAUAUUCCCAAUUUUCUUAGUAAUUCGUUUUGUCGCGCAGAGGCCAAACCAAGACACAUCUAAAAAAACAAAAAUUGCUCGAUAAACAAUUUUUAUUCUUUUAUUCCUCCAUGAGUGCAAACAAAGCUACAAUUUUUAAAAGCCUCCCGCAGAUUUGUGUCUUCUGCCUCCGCGGAGGACACGGAGGUCACGAAAAGCAGGUUCCGUGGGAUCAAAGGGAAAUAUAGAUAUCGAAAUUGUUUCUUCUAUAGCUACUGCAAAAAUGCCUCAUCGAAAAAAGUUUGGUCUAGAUCGUUACCGAAGAAUGUGUAAGCAAUGCUAUUUACACACCGAAUGAGAGGGUCUGUCAGGAAUGGUUUCGAAUGCUGUGAUGACUGUCCAAUCAGCUAAAUUUCCUUUUAUAUAGGAGCGAUUCCGGGAAACACAUAUCUAUGAUGUGGCGACAUCGAGAAGAUAAUUUUUCUCAAGUCUAUCCAUACCAUGAAAACAUCAACCGUUUGUACGUUUUUCACUUUGAUGGAGAUGAAAGGAAUAUCGGUGAUUUUUGCGUGUUUUACCCUAGAAGUAGGGUAAAAGAGUCUAUUUGACGGACUCCUUGAUCAAAAUAUCGCACGAAAAAAAGAAACUGACCCUUUUAUCCUGGAUUUGUUCUCGGCUACUUUGCAUUCCUGAGAUAUUUUUCCGAGAGAAAAAAUAAAUCAUUGCUAUACCAGCUCUCUCUUCUUUGCUUUGUAUGAGUAUCAAAGCAUAAAGAUUUAUCAUCUACCCUACCUUGUUCUCAACUUGGUUUUUCUGUGCACUAAGGGAAUUAUUUCUGGUCGCACACUCGCCUAGACGUUUUCUUCUUUCCUCUCAGGAGAUAGUUUAUUUUUAUUUUGCAUAGCUAUGGCAUGAACACAGAUGUUUCAGACGGUAAAAGCAAGGGCAGAUUGCUGACACUACAUAAGCAAAGUAUGAGCAACUCGCCAGGAAAUUUCCCGGGGUUAUUGUGCUCUAGUUUGACAGCUUGUUUUGAAUUCAGAGAGAGCCACUUUAUCAAAAGGAUAAACAACGAAUUACAACGAUGACAUAAACAUCUCCUAUAACCAGGUGCCACUGGUGUGCUUUGGGAAUAUCGGUCGACGAAAGUGUUGGAUCAUGACGUUGCUUGCAAGACCAGUAUUACAGAAUGAUUGGUGGUCAUAUUUCUCGACACUGAGUUUUGGGUCGUGGCAGCUUACUAAACAACCUACACUGCCGACAGGUCUACUCAGACCACGACAAUCAAAGUGCACAAAAACGAGCUCAACCUGGUCGUUCAUAAUAGCAUAGAACGCAUACGUUAAUGACAAAGCAGCUCUCAAUAAUUAGCUUAAAAAAACUAGUCAUUUAGUAGAUAAAGCACUACUUGCUUUAUUUGGUCUGGAUCGAUUUCCUAUUUUGGCGGCAAUUUUUUUUCUUUGUUUCUUUUCAGCUAUUCAAGCAAUUUUUUGCUGUUUUGUUUUCAACCCUUAAGACGGUUUUGAUCCAAAAAUGGCUAAAUUGGUCUAUCUACACAUUGGUAGGUCCAAGAAAAAAUAUGAUUAAAAAUGAAAUUAAUAUAUCAUUGUGUUCACAAGAUCUUCUUCGUUUUGAAAAUUCUAGCAAACUCUGAGUACAAGCUUAUUACUCCUUGAUCUUUGUCAAUCUUGAUAAGUUUGAAAAUAAACUGAGUAUGACACA